rnacentral:rRNA from 1 species
UACGGAGGGUGCAAGCGUUAUCCGGAUUUACUGGGUUUAAAGGGAGCGUAGGUGGGUCGGUAAGUCAGUGGUGAAAUCUUCGAGCUUAACUCGGAAACUGCCAUUGAUACCAUCGAUCUUGAAUUAUCUGGAGGUAAGCGGAAUAUGUCAUGUAGCGGUGAAAUGCUUAGAUAUGACAUAGAACACCCAUUGCGAAGGCAGCUUACUACGGAUAUAUUGACACUGAGGCUCGAAAGCGUGGGGAUCAAACAGG